CGCGAUACAGGGUGACAGCCCCGUACACAAAAGCGCAUGUGCUGUGAGCUCGAUGAGUAGGGCGGGACACGUGGUAUCCUGUCUGAAUAUGGGGGGACCAUCCUCCAAGGCUAAAUACUCCUGACUGACCGAUAGUGAACCAGUACCGUGAGGGAAAGGCGAAAAGAACCCCGGCGAGGGGAGUGAAAAAGAACCUGAAACCGUGUACGUACAAGCAGUGGGAGCACCCUUUGGGGUGUGACUGCGUACCUUUUGUAUAAUGGGUCAGCGACUUAUAUUCUGUAGCAAGGUUAACCGAAUAGGGGAGCCGGAGGGAAACCGAGUCUUAAUUGGGCGUUAAGUUGCAGGGUAUAGACCCGAAACCCGGUGAUCUAGCCAUGGGCAGGUUGAAGGUUGGGUAACACUAACUGGAGGACCGAACCGACUAAUGUUGAAAAAUUAGCGGAUGACCUGUGGCUGGGGGUGAAAGGCCAAUCAAACCGGGAGAUAGCUGGUUCUCCCCGAAAGCUAUUUAGGUAGCGCCUCGUGAAUUCAUCUCCGGGGGUAGAGCACUGUUUCGGCUAGGGGGCCAUCCCGGCUUACCAACCCGAUGCAAACUGCGAAUACCGGAGAAUGUUAUCACGGGAGACACACGGCGGGUGCUAACGUCCGUCGUGAAGAGGGAAACAACCCAGACCGCCAGCUAAGGUCCCAAAGUCAUGGUUAAGUGGGAAACGAUGUGGGAAGGCCCAGACAGCCAGGAUGUUGGCUUAGAAGCAGCCAUCAUUUAAAGAAAGCGUAAUAGCUCACUGGUCGAGUCGGCCUGCGCGGAAGAUGUAACGGGGCUAAACCAUGCACCGAAGCUGCGGCAGCGACGCUGAUGCGUUGUUGGGUAGGGGAGCGUUCUGUAAGCCUGCGAAGGUGUGUCGUGAGGCAUGCUGGAGGUAUCAGAAGUGCGAAUGCUGACAUAAGUAACGAUAAAGCGGGUGAAAAGCCCGCUCGCCGGAAGACCAAGGGUUCCUGUCCAACGUUAAUCGGGGCAGGGUGAGUCGACCCCUAAGGCGAGGCCGAAAGGCGUAGUCGAUGGGAAACGGGUUAAUAUUCCCGUACUUGGUGUUACUGCGAAGGGGGGACGGAGAAGGCUAUGUUGGCCGGGCGACGGUUGUCCCGGUUUAAGCGUGUAGGUGUGUGUUCCAGGUAAAUCCGGUUCACUUUAACACUGAGGCGUGAUGACGAGGCACUACGGUGCUGAAGCAACAAAUGCCCUGCUUCCAGGAAAAGCCUCUAAGCAUCAGGUAACAUCAAAUCGUACCCCAAACCGACACAGGUGGUCAGGUAGAGAAUACCAAGGCGCUUGAGAGAACUCGGGUGAAGGAACUAGGCAAAAUGGUGCCGUAACUUCGGGAGAAGGCACGCUGACACGUAGGUGAAGUGAUUUACUCAUGGAGCUGAAGUCAGUCGAAGAUACCAGCUGGCUGCAACUGUUUAUUAAAAACACAGCACUGUGCAAACACGAAAGUGGACGUAUACGGUGUGACGCCUGCCCGGUGCCGGAAGGUUAAUUGAUGGGGUCAGCGCAAGCGAAGCUCCUGAUCGAAGCCCCGGUAAACGGCGGCCGUAACUAUAACGGUCCUAAGGUAGCGAAAUUCCUUGUCGGGUAAGUUCCGACCUGCACGAAUGGCGUAAUGAUGGCCAGGCUGUCUCCACCCGAGACUCAGUGAAAUUGAACUCGCUGUGAAGAUGCAGUGUACCCGCGGCAAGACGGAAAGACCCCGUGAACCUUUACUAUAGCUUGACACUGAACAUUGAGCCUUGAUGUGUAGGAUAGGUGGGAGGCUUUGAAGUGUGGACGCCAGUCUGCAUGGAGCCGGCCUUGAAAUACCACCCUUUAAUGUUUGAUGUUCUAACGUGGACCCGUGAUCCGGGUUGCGGACAGUGUCUGGUGGGUAGUUUGACUGGGGCGGUCUCCUCCUAAAGAGUAACGGAGGAGCACGAAGGUUGGCUAAUCCUGGUCGGACAUCAGGAGGUUAGUGCAAUGGCAUAAGCCAGCUUGACUGCGAGCGUGACGGCGCGAGCAGGUGCGAAAGCAGGUCAUAGUGAUCCGGUGGUUCUGAAUGGAAGGGCCAUCGCUCAACGGAUAAAAGGUACUCCGGGGAUAACAGGCUGAUACCGCCCAAGAGUUCAUAUCGACGGCGGUGUUUGGCACCUCGAUGUCGGCUCAUCACAUCCUGGGGCUGAAGUAGGUCCCAAGGGUAUGGCUGUUCGCCAUUUAAAGUGGUACGCGAGCUGGGUUUAGAACGUCGUGAGACAGUUCGGUCCCUAUCUGCCGUGGGCGCUGGAGAACUGAGGGGGGCUGCUCCUAGUACGAGAGGACCGGAGUGGACGCAUCACUGGUGUUCGGGUUGUCAUGCCAAUGGCACUGCCCGGUAGCUAAAUGCGGAAGAGAUAAGUGCUGAAAGCAUCUAAGCACGAAACUUGCCCCGAGAUGAGUUCUCCCUGAGACUUAGAGUCUCCUGAAGGAACGUUGAAGACGACGACGUUGAUAGGCCGGGUGUGUAAGCGCAGCGAUGCGUUGAGCUAACCGGUACUAAUGAACCGUGAGGCUUAACCUUACAACGCCGAA
rnacentral:rRNA from 1 species